GAAAACCUAUACUUUGUUUCGGGCAAGUUCCCCAUUCAAAUGCAUGUAACAGUGAGAAACGCACUGUCUUGGCGAAAGAAAGCGUUUUUGUACAACUUCAUAGAAAUAGCUGUAACUUUUGAUAGAAGACUCAGACAAACAUGUUUAUGGCCUUAUCUUAUAGAACUCAAGGUCUCCGUGCUGGGAAAACAGGUUUUGCAGCUGUUUGAGCUAAGAUUUCCAAGUUAUUCACAUAAUGAAAACCUAUACUUUGUUUCGGUCGAGUUCCCCAUUCAAAUGCAUGUAACAGUGAGAAACGCACUGUCUUGGCGAAAGAAAGCGUUUUUGUACAACUUCAUAGAAAUAGCUGUAACUUUUGAUAGAAGACUCGGAUACACAUGUUUAUGGCUUUAUCUUAUAGAACUCAAGGUCCCCGUGCUGGGCAAACAGGUUUUGCAGCUGUUUGAGCUAAGAUUUUCAAGUUAUUCACAUAAUGAAAACCUAUACUUUGUUUCAGGCGAGAACUCCAUUCAAAUGCAUGUAAUAGCGAGAAACGCACUAAC
ensembl:lncRNA